AAAUAAUUGAAUCAGAAUAAUUUCAGUCAUCUGUGCUCAAUUUAUUUUCUCCAGUAACCACAGGAGGGUGCAGUUCUGCAUUGGGAGCUUCAUCUCAAGGAUUCCUAUCACAGGAAAGACAUUGUGGAACCUAGAAAAGAGCAACUUAAUUUUGUUGUCAGGCCCGUGUGACAGCCUUAUGAGCUGAUUUAAGACCCAUCAGAACUGGAGAGUAAGUAAAUAUUUUAUGUUCUCCCGACCACCACCAUCUACUUUGGACACCUUUCUAGGAAGUGCUUUUGUGAAUGGCUCGGCUGGCAGAAUUUUUCAUGGAAAGAGCUAAUGUUCAAUACAUAGACACGAAAAGGAUGAUCAUUUAAUAAUUUCAUAUAAGCGUUGUCACGAUCAAGGGAAGAAUGCGAUUCAUUUAAAUUUGGAAGAGAAUCUGAGUGACUGCUUUGCAUCAGUAAACUUCAGAGUGCUCUGUAAUUCAUCGUGCUCAACAGGAAGAAAAACAAGUUGAAGAAAGUGAAUAUAUAAUGCUGUUAGAACAGUUUUGAAUUUAGCUGAACUUUACUCUUCAGUUCACUGACUGGUGUGACAUUAAGAACACAAGAAAGGUCAGUUAAAUGGCAAUAUCAAAAAGUUUCUUAAAUUACAAGAUGGCUCUUGCCUGUGUCCAGGCUACUGGUGAAUCCUUAGCUAAUUAUCAUGGUAUGCCAAUAGACAAACACUCUACUCUAGAUGUACAAAUAUGUUCUUUCAAUGUUAAAAUUAUUUGCAGUGGUAGAGCAACAUUUCCCAAACUUCCACCAUGAUCAAACAGAAAGCAGAUUUUGAAAAGGUAUUAUUUAACGAUUUCUUUUUUUAAGUUUUGAAAGAUGGAGGCUUUGAUUUCUGUAAAGCUGUUUAUGGUACUCCUUAAGAUUUGACCUCUACCUUAAUGCUAUUAUAAGCGGGAAUAUAAUUAAUAUUUCUUUCCAGCAUAGGGCCAACGAGUCAGUAGUUCCUCAGGAGAGGAGAGCAUUAUACGUAUGCCAAGUAGGAGCACCACAUUUUGGGGUCCUGUUUGUACCAACCUGGGUUAAAGUUUGUUAUACAAGGGGGCUGUAAGCAAAAUCUUGAAAGUGCAGAAAUAAAAGACUGUUUGAUUUACUUAUGUAUGACCUACAAGAUUUUAAUCUUAAUGGAUCUCCUUCACAAACCGUAGCCAGUGUGGCAUAUAUUCAUUCACUAACCCAACUCUUCUUCAUGUAAAUGGUGUUGCAAACUCUUGUGAGUCUGGCAAAAUUCCAGCAUUAGCAAAAUGGUAUAGAAGCACUUUCACUCUUUGAAGAUCAAACAGUAAAGAAUAAAUGAGUCUUUCUCAAAUGCCCACAGAUGGAAAUUCACCCUGAUCAUUUAUGGAUGGAUGUUAGCAGAAUAGUGGCAUAAAUUAAAAAUACCAAUAAAAUACAAUUCAAGUGAUUUAAUCGAAGGUAUCAAGGCCAACUAGUUCAAGAAAGAAAAUGAAAAGGAAUAAUUCUAUAGGUGACUGCUGAUUUAACCUGUUGCAAUUAAUAC
rnacentral:lncRNA from 7 species